UACUUUCCUCAAUUACAGUUUGCCAUUCUUCUGUAACCUUCUGAUUCGAUUGUCGCCAGAAGAACCCAGAGAGAGAUCAAUAAUCAAUCACCCCUAAUCGCGUGUACACAUCUCUUGAGGAGAGAGAGAGAGAGAGAGAGAACGAAGAGAGCCGAGUGAUCUGGGUAGAAGAAGAAGAAGGGAUUUCGAAUCGCAAACAAAUCCUCUCCAUAACUCCUUCUUCCAUAAAUCUUUCUCCUCCACUGUUAUUCAGCCCGGGCAGUCCAACCCGAAGGGUAAACUAAUUCAAUUUCUUGGUGAUUGAAUCUUAAAUUUCCCAAUAGGUUGAAUUUUAAUUCUUUGUUAAUUUCUUCAUGAUUGAUCAACUAGUUUGAUUGUCGUGGUUCUUCGAAUUUUGCGUUUUGUAGUUGAGGAUAAAGCCAAGUUGUGCCCUUGUGUUAAAGAUGAUGUAUCCAUUACUAUAUUAGAAGCAAAGCUCUCAUAUUUUGGACAUGCGAGUAAGGCAUAUACAUUUCUGUAAUUGAAGAAUUCUAAUAUUGAUGACUGGAUACUUGAGUGAUGCAACUAUGGCUGAGGAUGCCUUAUCUGUUUGCAUGACUAUAAUGAUUGGGAGCUCAUAUUUCCUUUAACCUUCUUUGCGGGGACAGGGUAUAGUCUCUUCUAUCUCUACCUCUUUUGGCUCCUCCUAACUUUCUCCUUUUGUAUUAUUGGGAAUUUGAAAUGGGGAUCCCUAUAUGAACCUUAUAAAAAUCUCAGUAGUGAAAUGAAGCUUCUGAUACCUGCAUACAGGACAUUUAAAUUUGACAAUUGAGACAAAAGUCCGGAAUUGGUCCUGUUAAGUUGUUGUUAAAUAUAUAUUGGCAAAACUGCCAGUCAACCACUCAAACCUUUUGUUACAAAGCGUGCUAUAGUACUCAAUUUUACAAGUCUAUUUCUGUUUGGGUGGAUAGAUGAAUUGACAUUAGUUACCUUAAGGACCAUGCCAUUCCGGAUAACCUUAAUUAGACUAAAGUUGUGACCUUUUCUAGAAUGAAACCUCUCUGUAUAUCUUGCAAAGAGCAAACAUUGAAUGCUGGCUUCUGUUUCAUGACUUCCAUCCAUUGUUUUUGUUUAUAAAUGGUGUAUGUAAUUUUUAAUCUCAUUGAUCUUUUUUGUUGUUUAGCAUAUGGUAAUGUUUAUGAUUUUGAGUGGAAAAUACUGGAUUCAUUAGUUCUUUUUUCUUUUUCUUCUUUUCUUUUUCCUUUUUAGUUAUACUGUUUCUGAAACAAAUAUGACCAAAUGAAGAUAACGUUCUGAGAUUGAUGAUUUCCAUUUAGAUAUGAGUUCCAUUAGACAGUAAUAUUACAUUCUGAAGAUCAAUGAACUCUGUUUAGAUAUGAUUUCCAUUUAGAGAGUAUGAUUACAUUCUGAAGAAAUUAGACAAUAAGAUUACACAUGACAGGAACUUUCGAAGUUCAGUUAACUUGCAGUUAGCAUUAUGGUUGACACCUGAGCAUAUUUUUCUCUUUAUCUAGUGAUACAUUUAAACUCACUAUUAAGCUAGAUCAAGAUCCACGUUACCAAUUAAAAUGCAGUGCAAUUUCAUGUCUACGAAAGAGAAAAUACAAAAUACAUCAUGUGCUCCACAACCAAGAGGAUUUUAAUCCAAAUGUGGUUUUCAUAAAUAGUUUAAUGCCAGCUGUUCAUAGACCCUAUAUUUCAAUCCUAAUUGUAUUAUGUUCAUUACAAAAUAAACAAGAGAUCAUCUAUUUUUAGCAUAAAUUUUUCUGAUUGCUUCUUUGGUUCUUUUUUUUUUUUUUUUUUUUUUUUAACAAUUGAAACCUAGAACUGUUUUUUUUUUUGGUUGCCAAAACAAACUCUCUUUGUUUGUUAAAUUUGUUACUGUAAGAAGAUAGAAAUGUGUUUUUGGCUUAAAGUCUCAAAUUUACUAUUGCUCGGUUUAUUCUUGAGGUAUAGUUGAUUCCUUUUUUUGUUGCCAAAACAAAAACUCUUUUUUCUUUUGAAGUAGGUGACUUAACGAUUUAUUUCAGGAUUUCAUUGUUGUUUUGUUUGGCUUUUGUAGAUUUCAUGCGAAGGAGUGUAGAUCUCACUCCUUUUGCUGUUGUUCCUUUUUUGGCUACUUUGCACCAUCUCAAUCACUUAUUCUUAUUCAAGUAUGGGCUUUUUCCUAUUCUCUGGUUGAUUUUGAUAUAGAACGUGAAUUAACUGUUUUGCAUGGCUAUAACUGAAGUAGCCAGUUUUGAACCAGCUCCCACAUUUUGUGCAGCUGCAAACUGGAACAAUAACCCCGUUUGUGCAGCUACAAUUGGAGCAGUCACUUUUUUGGAACCUACUCCAGCAGCAAAUUUUACUACGCUAACUUAGAACUACACUAACUAGCUCUUUGGAUAUACUCCACCUGCUACUUUUUCUAAAGGAGCAACUAAUCUUUUUGUACAACUAGCAUUUUUGAACCAGCUUCAAUAGCAACUAAAGUCUAAAUUGUAUGAAAUUUCGCUAUUUCAAUA